rnacentral:rRNA from 1 species
AUUGAACGCUGGCGGCAGGCCUAACACAUGCAAGUCGAACGAGUGGCGGACGGGUGAGUAAUGUCUGGGAAAUUGCCUGAUGGAGGGGGAUAACUACUGGAAACGGUAGCUAAUACCGCAUACCAUCGGAUGUGCCCAGAUGGGAUUAGCUAGUAGGUGGGGUAAAGGCUCACCUAGGCGACGAUCCCUAGCCGGCCUGAGAGGAUGAGCGGCCACACUGGAACUGAGACACGGUCCAGACUCCUACGGGAGGCAGCAGUGGGGAAUAUUGCACAAUGGGCGCAAGCCUGAUGCAGCAAUGCCGCGUGUGUGAAGAAGGCCUUCGGGUUGUAAAGCACUUUCGGCGGGGAAGCGUUACUCACAGAGGAAGCACCGGCUAACUCCGUGCCAGCAGCCGCGGUAAUAC